AAAUAAGCUUGGGAGAAUUAAUUUACCCCUUUGACUCAGCUGCAUAAUAUGAACCUCUCAGAUUACUUAGCAUCAUGUGCACUUUCUCUCUUUUUUCAUCCCAGCCCUCAACUCUGAUCUGAAAGCUGGCACAUAUUUGACACAGAUAUUUCUGUGCUUGUGUUUGGAGCAUGCUGAGCCCUUUGGGGUGGUAGCAAGUGAUGCUGUGCCUCACAGAGCUGGGGUGCACCUGCAAGGGUGGCUCAGCCAUUACCUACAGUACUGUCAGAUCACAGGUUUCAAAUCAGUGCUGCUGCUCUCAGCUGUAAGCAGGGCUGCACACAGACAGGGUGGCCUCUGUGUGAACAGUAGGAGUUUCCUGGGGAAUAAUAAAAUAUGACAAUAAAAAUGCUAUUGCCAUGAGCCAGGGCGGUGUAGGGUACUAACAGCUUCAUUUAAGCCUCAUAACCUGAGAACGUGGAACUUGAUAUAAGAUAAAAAGUGCAGCUGAAAUGCAAGGUACACUUGUUUAGGGCUUGGAAUGAUGUUUGUAUGUUUCAGGGACUGGAGCUUGCUCACAUCUGGAGAGCUGGGAGUGUGUGGCACUGUUUAGACCUACUGUUAGUCCGAAGAUCUCUCUUUCUGGUUCUGGUCAAGUAUAUGCUACCAGAUUAACAACAUUCAGUUCCCAGGAACAGCUCAAGGAAAAAGAUGGAACUCCAAACCUGAGAUUGAGAAGUGGUGAGAACCAUCAUCCAGGAGAUGUCGGGUCCCUCAGUCAAACAUCAGAAAACGUAGACGUCAUGCAUGACCUUUACCUCAGAGUCACAGAUAGCCACCAAGGCAAGUGCUCAGAUGAAAACCAGGAGGUAGGAUUGGAUUUGAAAAUCUAUGGAAAACUACUGCAGAGAGUGGAGCAAAGGUCUGUUGCAGCUGAAGAGAUUCACAGCUCUAUUUUGAACUAAUUAAGGUGUCAAGGUUUUCCUAGCCUGAUAUAGAUGCUAUGAAAGUGGUACCUGCAAUUGUUCCUGAAAGAGAGCUUCACAUCAGGAGGAAAAGUACUCCUCCACCCAUUAUUUACCUGCAUUCUUGACAGACCUCGUUAUCUGAUCGGAUGUGAUGAAGAACUUGCUAGCAUCCAGGCUUUGUCUCCUUUUGGGAUCUUUCAUUUUUUUCCAGCUCUCAGCAUGGAGCAUAAGCAGGGGAAAGGUCUGGAAAUGCAACAGCAGUUUGUCCUACCAUAUAGACUGAUCUGCUUCUACAGGCAGUGGUGCUGAGUGUAUGCUUUUCAGACUGGAGCGGUGUGGCGAAGUGCUGUAACUUACAGCUUUGAGCCAUCUAUCCUGAAAAUAGUCCGUUCCAGUGCUUGCUAUGAGAUGUCCAUACAUCCUAUUCAGACACUCAGAUUUGCAACCAGUUGAGUUCUGAACUGACGUCAAUAAAAUAGUUCUUCCCCAGGACA
rnacentral:lncRNA from 1 species